rnacentral:rRNA from 1 species
AUGAACGCUGGCGGCGUGCCUAAUACAUGCAAGUCGAGCGAACGGACGAGAAGCUUGCUUCUCUGAUGUUAGCGGCGGACGGGUGAGUAACACGUGGAUAACCUACCUAUAAGACUGGGAUAACUUCGGGAAACCGGAGCUAAUACCGGAUGAUAUUUUGAACCGCAUGGUUCAAAAGUGAAAGACGGUCUUGCUGUCACUUAUAGAUGGAUCCGCGCUGCAUUAGCUAGUUGGUAAGGUAACGGCUUACCAAGGCAACGAUGCAUAGCCGACCUGAGAGGGUGAUCGGCCACCCUGGAACUGAGACACGGUCCAGACUCCUACGGGAGGCAGCAGUAGGGAAUCUUCCGCAAUGGGCGAAAGCCUGACGGAGCAACGCCGCGUGAGUGAUGAAGGUCUUCGGAUCGUAAAACUCUGUUAUUAGGGAAGAACAUAUGUGUAAGUAACUGUGCACAUCUUGACGGUACCUAAUCAGAAAGCCACGGCUAACUACGUG